rnacentral:lncRNA from 1 species
CUGGAGGUGAUUGCAGAAGGAGGAGCAGCUCCCUUUGUUGUCUCUUCAGGCAGCUGUAGUGUCUCUUCAGCAUUUGUUGGGUUCACAACCUAUUUAAAAGCCAGCUGGUCUUCACCCUCCCAGACAAGUCAGCUCAAGGGAGGCGGUGGGGUGCGGGCCUUGGCCUGAGCCCCACCCAAGGCUGAGCUGUGGGGCAGUCAGGAGAGCAGCAGGCAAGACCAUCUCUGCAGGCGCAGUGAAGCCCUGGCCUAGAGCAGCAGGUGUGAGAGGCCAAACCUGCAAGCUAAGGCACAGGUAGUGGCAGAGAGGAGUAGAGGCCCCCCAUGGGGAACACACUGAACUGUUGUGUGUGCCCCAAGUGGGGCUGGCACCGGGGUCGUGUGUGGCCCUGUGAGCCUGAGAUCUGUGAGGCAAUAACUGGGAACACAACGCCAGUAGCACCAGUGCCUGCUGCUGUAUAGCCUACUGAAUUUGCUUUUGAAGCUGUUGAGAGCCUCCAUGUACACCACAUCCAUGACCAAGAGAUUCCAGAAGAUAGAGCUUUGGAGCCAAACCCUUCUGAUGAUCCAAGGGCAAGCACAGUCUUCUUGCAAAAAUCUCAAACAGAUGUUCAAGAAAAGAGAAAGAGCAACGACAUGAACCAUGUAUCUACUAAGCAUUUUACUAAAAAGUACAGCUCGUGUUCAACCAUAUACCUAGAUGACAGCACAGCCAGCCAGCCUCAUCUUACAAUCAUAGUAAAAUCUGUGGCCUUAGCAAUAUAUUAUCACAUGAAGAAAAGCAAGAAAAGAUGCCAAAGGAAUACUUUGAGUAUGUUCCUGAACACAAGUUUAUUUACAGAUUUGUCCAUGUUCUUUUUAAAGCCACAAACCUAACAGCUGAAUUUGCAAUAGUAACUUUGGAAUGAGCUUGAAAGACAGUUUUUGCAGCUAAUUGACUAUAACGUCGAAGUUUCUGGAAGUGUUUAUGCCAAGUACUAUUUUGAUCUUCGAUCCUUGGCAAAGGACAAUAGCUUGCAUUUUCCAGUUUAUCUUCUCAACAAAGAAAGGGCACAGAACCUGGAAGCUAUUUCAAGGAUGGAAGACGCCAAAAUCUUUUAUAGUGAAGGUCCUUCAGCGCUGAUAAUUUCAUUAAUCUUCAGCGCUCUAAAGCCAUUAACUCUUGAAGGAAGAAAUGAGGGGCUAUAUCAUGUGAACCCCUCAUCAAAAAAGUUCGGAAAAUAUUACCUCUCAUGCUCAACAACUAGAAAACUCAUGCAGUGUUUCUGGAAACUAGUUUAGCUGCAGUAUGCAAGUUAGCUUGAAUUUUUCGUCAGCAAAGGCUUCUCCCUAAGCACAUUUAAGAUGACUGUGGCCUGACUGUUCCUUCACACAGCAUUGUUGAAUAUGAAACUACUUGGAAAAUGAUUUCACAGACGGCAGAGAAAUCUCCCAGAUAUUCUUUAAAAGAAGUGUAUUUCUUCAUAGAAACAUGACGAGAAAAAGACUUCCAUGGCAUCUUUUUAUUUUCUUCACUAUUGCUUUAAUGCAUUUUAAAAUUAAUCUAUAUUAAUUGAGAAUAAAGGAACAAAAAGA